rnacentral:lncRNA from 1 species
GAUAGUUGGCAAUGCCUCUUUGCGGCUGAAAAACGUGCAACUCACAGAUGCUGGCACCUACAAAUGUUAUAUCAUCACUUCUAAAGGCAAGGGGAAUGCUAACCUUGAGUAUAAAACUGGAGGUGAGUUACUUUUGGAGAGAGAUUUUUUAAAGCACCAAAAGUAUUUGAGGCUAAAGAUUAUGAGUUGCUUAUGAAAUAUGUUGUGAUCAAUAUCAGACAAUGAUGCUCCCAAUUCUGCUAACAGCUAUUUUUGCCAUUUUAUGGCCAAGACCCACACCAACCCCAGAAGGAGCCAACUAUAAGAGAGGCCUUAAAAAUCUUUUGUUCUGGGUUCUCUCUGCUUCAGAAUUUCCAGGUGUGUUCUCUAUUCAACAAAAUAAAUGUAGCCUCUUUUGUGGCAGCCCUUGGUACAGCUAAUAAGAGCAGCCUAGCCUGGGACAUUUCCAUGCUAAGUAGACCCAAGCCCAAUCCUGAAAUCAGUAUCUUCAGAGACUCAUGACAGUGAGUGCGUUUUGGAAGUUCAAAGAGAACUAACCAAAAUGAAAACAACAUUGUCCUAUAAACUCAUUAAUUCCCCUUCCCCUGCAACAAUGAAAUCCACCCUUUGUUGCCAACCCAAUUUAAAAUAUGUUUUCUGAAUUUAUAUACAAGGGACUCAGGUACUGUGAGGAGUACAAAGAUGAUUAAAGAGAUUUCCCCUACCCUUACAGAGCUCAUAAUAUAGAUCUCACAGAGUUAGGGGUCAGGACAGAGAUAAUAAAAGUCUGUAAAUGAUAAUAAUUAGUAAAGUGUAUCAAAUGCUUUAAGAGAAAUAUAAAUGGAGUGAUUGAGAAGAAGAGAGAGAUCCCGUUCAAAUGCAUAGGAGGGAAGGGAUGGGAAAGCCCCCUGGAGAAGCUGGCAUUUGAGGGGAGCCUUGAAGGAUAGGCAGAAACCCUCCAGGGAGAAAAAUACAUAAAAUCCAGAAGCUUCACAGAUCCCUAGGAAAAUGCCUAAUUUCCCUAAGGGAUAAGCUUUUUUAUGACCACUGAAGUUCCUCUUACUUGGAGAAAAUUUUCUAUUGUAACAAUAAUAUACCUAGAAUUUAGGUCCUUGGGGUUUGUGAUUGGCCAAAGGGUUGUGAUGUAUAGCAAUACUAUGAGCAAAUAAUUAUUCGCACCUAUAAUACAAUGGGCCAUACACAGGUGGACCUCUGAGGAAGUACUGAGUGGCUUCAAUGAUUAAAAAAAAAAAAAAAUGACUGCAUUUUUAAGACCUAGCGCUUCAAAGGCUAUAUUGUCUUAUGUGUCUGACUUUGGCAUCUGCCCUUUCUGACUUUUGACCCUGCAGCCUUCAGCAUGCCGGAAGUGAAUGUGGACUAUAAUGCCAGCUCAGAGACCUUGCGGUGUGAGGCUCCCCGAUGGUUCCCCCAGCCCACAGUGGUCUGGGCAUCCCAAAUUGACCAGGGAGCCAACUUCUCGGAAGUCUCCA